AACCUUUUUUAUAGUAGUACAUGUUGUAUUUGAUGUGUCAGUUUGUCCACAAUCUUGUUCAUAAUAUUUUGAACUUUGUGACAUAUUACAUACUUCAUAUUUGAGGAACUGAAAUGUCACCCUUAGUGGAAUUCAUGGGGGCCAAUUUUUGUGGAUUGUAGAAAUUUUACAGUUUCAUUGGGUUGUAAUUUUUUAAUAUGGUUGUGUACAUUGAAACGUGUAUUUCACUGGGAUAUGGGUAUCUGGAAACAGUACUGAUUUUAGAGCUUGAAGAAAAGCAAAAUGCAUGGUUAUGAAGAGCAUGGAUCCCUCUCCAAAAAUUGUGAAAUUCAUUACCCCUGGGCCAAGGUUCUAAGGUGGGGCUCAAAUGGGGUAUAUAAUAAAAAUGUAUUCUAUAGUUAAAAAUCUUCUGUAAUCUGCAUACUUAGUUAUUAAAAACAUGUACCUGUUUACCAAAUUCAUGAAAUUCCCUACUCAGAGAUUUAGGGCAGGACUGGAAUUGGUUUAUAAUUAAAAUGCAUAAGGACAUAGGAUCCCAACCACCACCACAACCCCCACCCCCAUAUUGUUAUAGAAUUUUGUAAAAGUAAAAUUAUUAUACCCCCCGCAACAAGUUGUGGGGGGGGGGGGGUAUACUGGAAUCAGGUUGUCCGUCUGUCCGUCCGUCCGUCCGUCUGUAGACGCAAUGGUUUCCGGACUCUAAAGCAUUAUCCUUUCCACCUACCGUCACCAUAUCAUAUAUAUGGACUACCCAUGGGAUGAAGAUGUUCCCUAUCGAUUUUGGGGUCAAAAGGUCAAGUGCACUGGACAUCGAAGUAGCAAUAUGGUUUCCGGGCUCUAAAGCGUUAUCCUUUCCACCUACAGUCACCAUAUCAUACAUAUGGACUACCCAUGGGAUGAAGAUGUUCCCUAUUGAUUUUGGGGUCAAAAGGUCAAGCGCACUGGACAUUGAAGUAGCAAUAUGGUUUCCGGGCUCUAAAGCGUUAUCCUUUCCACCUACAGUCACCAUAUCAUACAUAUGGACUACCCAUGGGAUGAAGAUGUUCCCUAUCGAUUUUGGGGUCAAAAGGUCAAAGGUCACGUGCACUGGACAUCGAAGUAGCAAUAUGGUUCGGUUUGUCAUGCCAUUUGUUUUUUACACUCAGAAAAGAGGUAGUUUAUACCUAUUGCCAACACCCUUUGGGAGAUUGGGGUAAGCGGGGGGUAUUCUUAGUGAGCAUUGCUUACAGUACCUCUUGUUUGUUUUUGUUUUAAUUUUGCUAAAAAAUAAAAAAACAAACAAA